rnacentral:rRNA from 1 species
UACGAGGGGGGCAAGCGUUGUUCGGAAUUACUGGGCGUAAAGCGUGCGCAGGCGGUUAUGUAAGACAGUUGUGAAAUCCCCGGGCUCAACCUGGGAACUGCAUCUGUGACUGCAUAGCUAGAGUACGGUAGAGGGGGAUGGAAUUCCGCGUGUAGCAGUGAAAUGCGUAGAUAUGCGGAGGAACACCGAUGGCGAAGGCAAUCCCCUGGACCUGUACUGACGCUCAUGCACGAAAGCGUGGGGAGCAAACAGG